GAGAUAAGAGUAUAAAACAGUAGGUUACAGAAUCGUGUGCAGUAAAUCUUCCUAGAACAAUAGGGUUCUUGAAAACCUCAAAUCUAAGACUCAUAAAACGAUUGAUUUUGUGCAGAUCUUUAAGGUAUCAAAUCUAACUUUGAAGAAUUUUGUUAACCAUGGGGACAACAAGAAUUGACAUGUUGCCUGAUUGUGUCACUCAUAUUGUUCUGUCUCACCUUGGCUUUAAAGAAGCAGCCCGGAUGAGUAUUAUCUCCAAAACAUGGUUACGUGCCUGGUUAACACAUCCAAAUUUAGAAUUCAGAAUUUAUGAUUUCAAAUGCAUAAAAACAAUAGAUGAAAUCUUGGAAAGAUAUAGGGAAGAAAAUAUCCCUAUAGAAAAGCUUAGUUUCUAUGUUUCUGGUGAAGUUUUUCCCCUGAUUGAUAAGUGGUUUCGAAUUGCUCUCCAAAAUGGUGUUAAGUAUCUUGAAUUUGGAUAUACUGAUUAUGGUUGUCAUUUCCAACAUAUAUUAUUGUACCCCUUGCCUGUUUUCACUAUCUUGGCAGCAAAAUCUUUAAGAAAAUUGGUUCUCAAGGACUGUGAUCUCAUGCAACUUCCGUUAUUAUCUAGUGGUGUGGCCAAUUAUUGCGAUUCUUUGAGAGACCUUUCUCUAAUAGGUGUUCGUUUAGACGAUAACAUGCUUCAGACUCUGUUAACUACUUGUCCUAUGAUUGUCAGUUUCACCAUUAAACAUUGUAUUGGGUUGGAAAAGAUUGAGUUGCGGAAUCUCCAGAAGAUCAAGAUGGUUUUCAUUCAUAUCGAUAGAAAACAGCCUGUCGAAAUUCAAGCACCAACUCUUGAACACUUGUUUUAUUGUGGUCUUGCGGAAAAGAGCCUUAAGUUGGAUAUUGUUGCAUGUCUUAAUCUGAAAUCUUUAAAGCUAUCAUGUGUGAAGAUAUCUGAUCGAUUUCUCGAGAAAGUUACUUUUGAAUGUCAAUCCCUUGAGAGUUUGAUGUUAGAUAACGUCGUUAGUAAAGGGAGUAAAAAGUUUAAAGUUUGCGGGAGUCAAUCUCUUAAGAAAUUGGAGAUUCGUGGUUGUGAUGCCAUAGCGGUGAUUGAUGAAGCUCCAAAUUUGGAAUCACUCGAGUAUGUUGGAUGCCAUAUUCCUGUGCUUAAAACUGGGAAAACAUUUGGCCCAUUGAAGCACUCACGUAUGGAAUUAUAUCACUGCAGCAAUUUAAAUGCUUUAUGGUUCUGUAAAUUGAGGAAAUUUCUAUUCAACUCGAACUCUUUGUUUCAAAUUACCCUUCACUUCCCCAAAUGCAUUAAAAUCGACAUGGGACAUUGGGAUCCUUAUCGUGGAUUAUUUACUAUCCCCCAAGUGGACGUGUUAAAUGUGCAUUUAGCUUGGUCAAUGGAGUGUCCAGUUUUUAUGGAUGCUUUAUUAUGGAGCUGUCAUCCUAGGAGACUCAACUUAUUCUCGACUAUACAAAUGAUUACAUGUUUCAACAAUCAUUUAAUGCGUACGAAGAGUUCAAGUCUUUCUAGUUCUCAUGGAAGCAAGCCUUGGCAAAGUCAAUUAGUAGAUGUGCGAGUCCAUAGAGAAGACUUGAGCGGGCAGCCUGUGGAACAUAACGAGAAGAGGAGAAUUUGUUUUUCAUUAGAUUGGAGCAAAGGGUGGUAUGGGAGUCAGUAACCUCAGAAUCUAAAAUCUUGUUUGCGUCAUGGUGAUGCAAUCACGCCAUAUGGGUCGGCUGAGGCACUACUCUUAGCUUGUAAAAUCGCGAUCAUGGGCCUGAGGGCUGAGAUCAUGGCCUCAAAAGAGGAAGAGAACGGCCAGAAAAGAGUUCGUUAAGGGUAUCCACGAGCUGAAUAGAAGGAUGUAAGAAAGAUAUAUCAUCCAAAAUUUCUGGCGAACAAAGUGAAAAAGAGUUCUAUAAGUUUCUUUGUUCAUGAAAGAUGGGUAUACGUGUAAGGAUAUUGAGUUUUCCAGCUUUCAUGAAGGGUCGCGAUGGGAGGAAAUUGCUGGUUUGUCAAGGCUAUCGGAUCUGCCAAAUAGAGUACUUUGGCAAACCCAAAGUAUAGGCUCUUACAUUACUUCCAAAUCGGUCUAUCUAAUGGGCUUCGCAAUUUUAGGAGCUUCUCAAUGUUGAAUUGCUAGUAGAACUCAAUGUUCUUUUUUGGCAAUAACUGUGAUUUACGUCAAGGCUGCCUAGUUGGAACAAGAGCAACCCGAAACCUGUUGCAGAGUCCGAUUUUCAAUAAGGGGAUACAAAACAUAAAAAGACAAAUACAUGUUGAAGCUAAGCGGAUUCAACAUUUAAUUUAUAUACAUAAAAAGUAAAUUUAACUUUGUAUAUACAGUGAAACUUUCCAAAGAAUAGGGGAUUCAGAUGAACCCCUUGCGCCCCUAGCUCCGCUUCCUGUCUGCUGAAACCAUCAAUGAGAAUUCGCUACAGCUUCCUUGUCACAACCUCGCGAGUAAUCCCGAGGCCUCCGUACCGGAGACUUCAGGGUGAGCCAUGCCACAUCCGCAGCCCAGAGCCUCCUUCUCUUACAUAUCUGUCCUUUGCUUUCUUGAGACAAUUAUUUCAUGUUGUUACGAGACUAUUCUAGUUUUCACACAUUGUUAUUAGGAUUAGUUGCUCUUGUACUGUUUCAGACUAGAUCUCUUGGGUUGUAAUGUUGCUUACUCCGCACUUUUAUCAUUAUGCUUCGAUUGAGACUUGAAUUAUCAUUGCUUAAAUUUCGUAU